rnacentral:lncRNA from 1 species
ACCUACUUUUCUUUUUAGUCUGUUUAAAAAAGGAUGAUCCUUUCCUUUUUUGGCAAUACUUUAAUUUCAACUUUUUACGUGAUAUGUUUAGGACCACAAGAUUAAAAAAUAUUUUAAUAUAUUUAACAUAACUUUAAUUUAAGAUCACAAGAUUGAAAAGUUUCUAAAAUGCAUUUCUUUUCUGGAGCUAGUUGAGGACCUCCCCACCCUCU